rnacentral:rRNA from 1 species
UACAGAGGCCUCGAGCGUUAGGCGGAAUCACUGGGCUUAAAGCGUGUGUAGGUGGAUGCCUAAGUACCUUGUGAAAUCCCACGGCUUAACCGUGGAAUUGCUGGGUAUACUGGGUGUCUUGAGCCACUCAGGGGCUACCGGAACAAACGGUGGAGCGGUGAAAUGCGUAGAUAUCGUUUGGAACGCCUAAGGUGAAAACAGGUAGCUGGGGGUGUGCUGACACUGAGACACGAAAGCCAGGGGAGCGAACGGG